rnacentral:rRNA from 1 species
UUGAACGCUGGCGGCAGGCCUAACACAUGCAAGUCGAGCGGUAGCACAGAGAGCUUGCUCUCGGGUGACGAGCGGCGGACGGGUGAGUAAUGUCUGGGAAACUGCCUGAUGGAGGGGGAUAACUACUGGAAACGGUAGCUAAUACCGCAUAACGUCGCAAGACCAAAGUGGGGGACCUUCGGGCCUCAUGCCAUCAGAUGUGCCCAGAUGGGAUUAGCUAGUAGGUGGGGUAACGGCUCACCUAGGCGACGAUCCCUAGCUGGUCUGAGAGGAUGACCAGCCACACUGGAACUGAGACACGGUCCAGACUCCUACGGGAGGCAGCAGUGGGGAAUAUUGCACAAUGGGCGCAAGCCUGAUGCAGCCAUGCCGCGUGUGUGAAGAAGGCCUUCGGGUUGUAAAGCACUUUCAGCGGGGAGGAAGGCGAUAAGGUUAAUAACCUUGUCGAUUGACGUUACCCGCAGAAGAAGCACCGGCUAACUCCGUGCCAGCAGCCGCGGUAAUACGGAGGGUGCAAGCGUUAAUCGGAAUUACUGGGCGUAAAGCGCACGCAGGCGGUCUGUCAAGUCGGAUGUGAAAUCCCCGGGCUCAACCUGGGAACUGCAUUCGAAACUGGCAGGCUAGAGUCUUGUAGAGGGGGGUAGAAUUCCAGGUGUAGCGGUGAAAUGCGUAGAGAUCUGGAGGAAUACCGGUGGCGAAGGCGGCCCCCUGGACAAAGACUGACGCUCAGGUGCGAAAGCGUGGGGAGCAAACAGGAUUAGAUACCCUGGUAGUCCACGCCGUAAACGAUGUCGAUUUGGAGGUUGUGCCCUUGAGGCGUGGCUUCCGGAGCUAACGCGUUAAAUCGACCGCCUGGGGAGUACGGCCGCAAGGUUAAAACUCAAAUGAAUUGACGGGGGCCCGCACAAGCGGUGGAGCAUGUGGUUUAAUUCGAUGCAACGCGAAGAACCUUACCUGGUCUUGAAAUCCACAGAACUUUCCAGAGAUGGAUUGGUGCCUUCGGGAACUGUGAGACAGGUGCUGCAUGGCUGUCGUCAGCUCGUGUUGUGAAAUGUUGGGUUAAGUCCCGCAACGAGCGCAACCCUUAUCCUUUGUUGCCAGCGGUUAGGCCGGGAACUCAAAGGAGACUGCCAGUGAUAAACUGGAGGAAGGUGGGGAUGACGUCAAGUCAUCAUGGCCCUUACGACCAGGGCUACACACGUGCUACAAUGGCAUCUACAAAGAGAAGCGACCUCGCGAGAGCAAGCGGACCUCAUAAAGUAUGUCGUAGUCCGGAUUGGAGUCUGCAACUCGACUCCAUGAAGUCGGAAUCGCUAGUAAUCGUAGAUCAGAAUGCUACGGUGAAUACGUUCCCGGGCCUUGUACACACCGCCCGUCACACCAUGGGAGUGGGUUGCAAAAGAAGUAGGUAGCUUAACCUUCGGGAGGGCGCUUACCACUUUGUGAUUCAUGACUGGGGUG